AGAAAGAGGGUUCAAGUCCUCUAUUUCCUUUCUCACUGAGUGUCUUCGUCUCUCAUCUCUCUCUAUUUAGCCUCUUUUCGUUCCAUCUGAAAACAAAAUCUAGGGUUUUCCUAGAUUUCCUGAAACUCUCAAAUCUCUAGAUCCAUGGCAAAGACAAUGCGAGGGCACACCUUUAACACCAAUCGACAGUCGGUUCAACGAAGCACAGAGUCAACCUUAGCACCUAGAGAAGCUCUAUGAUUGAACUAGAACCUCUCUAAGCUUGCAUCUGAUUUGGGAUGCUUCUUUAAAUGAGAUGAAGUGAAAAAGGACAGACAUCUAAGGGUAAAUGUAAAACCCUUUUCAUAGUGAGUCUUGCUCGGCAUAAAAUAGGUAUGUGCUCGGUAACAAAAGCCCCUUUGUUUUCUUGCUGAAUUCCUUAACAAUCAUAGUAAAGUUUGGAUCUUUACGUUGCAAUUGCUGUGAUUUAAUAGAUUUUGGCUUUAAUUUCAAAAUGAAAUAUGGGUUCACAUUGUAUAUUUUUUUUUAUGAUUUAAGUAUGCAAUUUAGCAAAUUUGAAAUUGGUGGUAAGAUAAUUUAUCUAGUAUGUAGGGAAAUAAUAACAAAAAGGUGGAUUUUUUUUGUUCCUUUCCUGUUGAUUGACAACACUGCUUUAUGUGAAGAUCUAGAGAAUUUGUUACAUUAGAGUUUGUUAUUUACUUUCAACACAAAGAUUGAAGAUGAUAGUAUUGAAGAGGUAUGUUUUCCAUCUAAUUAGCUACUUAAAUUGCUUUGUGAUUUGAACCCCUUUAGUUUUUAAGAUUUAUCUCUCAGAGGUGGAAUAUUUAUUUUUACUUAACUUUUUGGCCAAAGAGUAAUGGAGUAGUAUGUAUCAAAUUCUUGAUUGUGUUAAUGUGGUGACAUUGGCUUUUGGGCAGUAUAGCAUGGCUCAAAACUCAUUUUGUUGUGCUUGAGUCUGGUUUCGAUUUUUAGAACUCUGAUCUUUAUGUCAUGUAUACUCAUUUUCUGCAUAAGAGUUCUGUCUUUCAUUAGGUAUAUAACAAGCAACUCUGUGAAGAACAACCUCUAUUGGAAUUGAGAAACUAAAAUCUACGACACCCAUUUUGUCGGAAGCUAGUUGCAUUUUCAUUAAUAUAAGGGGAAAUUAGUAUUUUAGACUCUAAAGAAAUCACAUUGCUUCAAUAAUGUAUUUUAAAAUUUUAGCAUGUACUUACAAUAGAUGUUGGGACAAAAACCUUUUCGACUUCCCCUAAGGUUGUAGCUAAGAAGUUGAUUCUGUAAGGAUCCACCUUCGUUUCCCUCUUGACAAACUAUAUGGUGAAUUAUUCUUUGAUUACUGAUUCUAGUAUAUACAUGUUGCACACUGAGAGCUAUUUUUCCCUUAAGUCAGCUAUAAAUUGACCAUUAUUUUUUGGACUUUAUAAAUGCAUCAUUCUAAUUCAGUUUUGAGGGAAUUUGGAGCCAUUCUUCCCUAAAUUGGUUGUGGAGCUACAUCAAUUUAAUUCACCUAUUGAGAUACAUUUUAUCAUAAAUUAAUGUAUGAAGAGCAGUUUCCCCAUCUUUCCAUGAUCUUCCAAUUUUUAUUGAUAAUCUUAUACUGAUAAGUAAUUUGCUCACUGUAAUUAUAGCACACCAUGCAUACAAACAUCUGAUCUUUCUGAUGCUAUUUUAAAUUCUAAUAGAUAAAUAUAAUGCCAUGGGGACAAAAUUGUUCUCCCUUUGUCUUUUUUGUAGAAUUUCAUGCUCCUAAAAUAAAGAAUAUAUUUAUAUAGAAAAUGAGAGUGUAUCUAAAUGAGAAUAAAUAAUGGGUAUUCCCAGAGUCUUGGAAGAAAAGAAAAUUAGUCUUGGUUGAUAUAUGAUAGCUUUCCAUUGAGGUUUUUAUAUUGGGUUUGAACGGGUAUGAGAAACGGCACUUGUUGUCAUACAUUUGUUACACGUGGCUGAGUGGAGAGGGAGACUAAAAGUCUAGCUCAAUAUAGUGAUACAGUCCUAAUAUACUAUAAAUGGCUGUAAGAAUAGAAGUUGUAAAAAAUAGAAGCUCUUUUAGCCAUGCUACAGGUACCUUGUACUCUUAUUGAUAGAAUUCAAUUUUGUUUCUUAUGGCAUGACAUGGUACUUUUGUUUUGACUAACUUCAAUACUGCAGGUAGUUGCAACUAGGAAAGAAGAAAGACAUGUUAAAAGAUGGACUGCUCAGGUAGUUCCCAUUUUGCUACAAUCUUAUUAAUGAUCCUUAAUAGUUUUGGGCUUCUGCACAAGUAAUCGUGCUGAAUUCAUGGUGUAUAUGCGUUAAUUCAGUUUGUUACUGUAUUUAAUUUAUGUACCGUUAUCACUUGAUAAUCUUCUGUACUUUUAGAGACUUAGCCAGACUUUUAGAGAUUUGUAAAUUUACAUGUUUCAAUAUCCUCAUGUUAUAUCAUAGGAUAUGCAGUAUCUGCUCUGUGGAUUUGAAAAUCUUCAGCAUUGAUAAUGUGACGCCCCCAAAUUUGGGUAUCUUCAAACCAGACAUAUGGUGCUACACGGUACUCAUAAUUAUACAAUCAUUCCAUUAAAAAUACAACGUAAUGAAUGUAUUAAAUAUCUUCUUAUUAGAAUCAUAGUAAAAUCAUUUCCCAGGUUCAUAAACCGAUUACAUCAUUUGCUG
rnacentral:lncRNA from 1 species